AGUGGCGGCACCACGAUGGUGAGAAGUUUAGAGCAGAAAACAGGCACACCCGGCCCAACAGUUUCCUCCCUCUAUUUUGCAAUGAUUUUCUCAGAGACAGAAAAGAUUCUCAAUGCCUCUCUGAGGAUUUCAGCUGACAGGCUUACGGGAUCUUAGUUCCAUGACCAGGGAUCAAACCUAUGCCCCUGCAGUAGAAGCAUGGAAUUCUAACCAUGGGAUCACCAGGGACUGCCCAAUACUACCUUCUUUAAUCCUGAGAUGUGGUGACAGAAGCCUGGAGAAGGCAUGUGACUGGCACAAGGCUACUCAGCGAGGAAGUGGAGGAGUGGGGAUUGAAACCUGGGUCAGUCUGGCCAAAACUGCUGCCUCCUCUUCCUCAGUGUUCUCUCCUCCCACCUGCAAUAGAUCGGGGCACCACUCCAGAGAUCACCUCGUCUAGACCUGCCAGGUCCCCGGUGCCCAGACGGUGACGCAGCUGCCUCGAAGGCAGGGAGGGGGUGACGCUUGACACUCCCUUGCCCAGGCACUGUGGGAGAGGGCGCGGGGGGGCCGGUGCAGGGACCCAGCUUCCAGGGCUGAACAAGGGCCAA